rnacentral:lncRNA from 1 species
CUGAGCGCGUUUGUUUGUCCUUGGCUGUGUGCCGUGAGGGGGCCGUGAGUUGGGUGGGGUGAAAUGGAACAGCACCUCCAUCGGGCAGGUGGCAAGCCGCGGCAAGAUCAAAGCGAACGACUGCAGACGGAGUCACAUGGCAGCAGUGCUGCUGCUGUGUGCGGCAUUGGGUUGCGCCGGCCUGGAGAAGAGAGAUCCGCGCUUCUUCAAGCUAAUGUUCUAUGAGAAUACUGCUGGCUUGUCGUGUCCUGCACAGCUGAAUGGCUGCGCCCUGG